CACCUCUCUAUAGUGAACAAAUCACUUUUUAUCAUUUUUAUUCUGUCAUUUUUCACGUACAAAUCGAUAUGUUUUUACGCGUUUGAGAAAAAACCGAUUUCCGACUAAAAACACUAGUGAAAAUUUCAAAAAACUUGUUAAAAACACUAAAGGCAAUAACAACAACUUUAUACAAGUAAUAUUAAAAAAAUAGUGGAAAGGAAACAUAAAAAGAAUUACAAAAAAAAAAAAAGAAAACAAACAAAAACAAUACACAACACAUAACUGCAGUGUGGCAUUUCUCUAAACGUCAAACUUUUUCCUUAAAAAAAAGAAGAGUGAUUAUUAUAGAAGGUGCACAAAAUGACUCAAAUACUACCCAUACGCUUUCAGGAGCAUUUACAGCUCACAAAUGUCGGUAUUAAUAUCAAUUCGAUAUCGUUCAGUACUCUUACCAUGGAGUCUGACAAAUUCAUUUGUGUGCGUGAAAAGGUCAACGAUACCGCACAAGUGGUCAUUAUUGAUAUGAAUGACACUGCUAAUCCAACUAGACGUCCAAUAUCAGCUGAUUCAGCUAUUAUGAAUCCAGCUAGUAAAGUUAUUGCACUUAAAGCGCAAAAAACUUUACAAAUCUUCAAUAUCGAAAUGAAAUCGAAAAUGAAAGCUCAUACUAUGACCGAAGACGUAGUCUUCUGGAAAUGGAUUUCAUUGAAUACUUUAGCCUUGGUUACAGAGACCUCUGUAUAUCAUUGGUCGAUGGAGGGUGAUUCGACGCCCCUUAAAAUGUUCGAUAGACAUUCCUCAUUAAAUGGUUGCCAAAUCAUUAAUUAUCGUUGUAAUCCAAAUCAACAAUGGCUUUUGUUGGUGGGUAUAUCGGCAUUGUCAAAUCGUGUGGCCGGUGCUAUGCAAUUGUAUUCGGUGGAACGUAAAGUAUCACAGGCUAUUGAAGGUCAUGCCGCCGCUUUUGCUUCGUUUAAAAUGGAGGGCAAUAAGGAACCUUCAACUUUGUUUUGUUUUGCUGUACGCACUGCUACCGGUGGUAAAUUGCAUAUUAUCGAAGUUGGUGCUCCACCAACUGGCAAUCAACCGUUUGUUAAGAAAUCCGUUGAUGCCUUCUUUCCACCCGAAGCCCAAAGUGAUUUCCCCGUAGCAAUGCAAGUUUCCUCGAAAUAUGAUACCAUCUAUUUGAUUACCAAAUAUGGUUAUAUUCAUCUUUACGACAUGGAGACGGGCACCUGCAUCUACAUGAAUCGCAUUUCGGCCGAUACAAUAUUUGUAACAGCGCCUCAUGAAUCGAGUGGCGGUAUUAUUGGGGUAAAUCGCAAGGGUCAAGUGCUGUCGGUGACAGUGGAUGAGGAACAGAUUAUACCCUAUAUUAAUACGGUAUUACAGAAUCCCGAUUUGGCUUUGCGCAUGGCUGUACGCAACAAUCUCUCUGGUGCAGAGGAAUUGUUUGUGAGAAAAUUCAAUAAGCUAUUUACGGCCGGUCAAUAUGCUGAGGCCGCUAAGGUGGCCGCUUUGGCGCCCAAGGGUAUUUUGCGUACGCCACAGACUAUACAACGUUUCCAGCAAGUCCAAACGCCGGCUGGUUCUACAACACCACCUCUAUUGCAAUAUUUUGGUAUUUUAUUAGAUCAGGGUAAAUUGAAUAAAUAUGAAUCAUUGGAAUUAUGCCGCCCGGUGUUGUUGCAAGGCAAAAAGCAACUGUGCGAGAAAUGGCUGAAGGAGGAGAAAUUGGAAUGCAGCGAAGAGUUGGGUGAUUUGGUCAAGACCUCUGAUCUGACAUUGGCUUUGUCCAUCUAUUUGAGAGCGAAUGUACCCAAUAAGGUUAUACAAUGCUUUGCCGAGACUGGACAAUUCCAGAAGAUAGUUUUGUAUGCCAAAAAGGUGAACUAUACACCCGACUAUAUAUUCCUGUUGCGCUCGGUAAUGCGCACCAAUCCAGAACAGGGUUCAAGUUUUGCUUCAAUGUUGGUGGCCGAGGAAGAACCCUUGGCGGAUAUCAAUCAAAUAGUGGACAUUUUCAUGGAACACUCUAUGGUCCAGCAGUGUACGGCCUUUUUGCUAGAUGCUCUUAAGCACAAUCGUCCCAAUGAGGGUGCUUUACAGACCAGGCUGUUGGAAAUGAACUUAAUUUCUGCACCCCAAGUGGCCGAUGCCAUUUUAGGCAAUGCCAUGUUUACCCACUACGAUCGUGCUCACAUUGCCCAAUUGUGUGAGAAGGCUGGUUUGUUGCAACGUGCUUUGGAACACUAUACCGAUUUGUAUGACAUUAAGAGAGCUGUAGUGCAUACUCAUCUCUUAAAUGCCGACUGGUUGGUGGGCUUUUUCGGUACACUUUCCGUGGAGGAUUCUUUGGAGUGCCUAAAGGCCAUGUUGACUGCUAACAUUAGACAGAAUUUACAGAUUUGUGUUCAAAUUGCUACCAAAUAUCAUGAACAAUUGACCACCAAAGCUCUUAUAGAUCUCUUCGAAAGCUUUAAAUCCUAUGAGGGUCUCUUCUAUUUCUUGGGCUCCAUUGUCAACUAUUCGCAGGAUCCUGAAGUACACUUUAAAUACAUACAGGCCGCCUGUAAGACCAACCAAAUUAAGGAAGUGGAACGUAUUUGUCGUGAGUCCAACUGCUAUAAUGCUGAACGUGUUAAGAAUUUCCUCAAAGAAGCCAAAUUGACCGAUCAAUUGCCUUUGAUCAUUGUAUGCGAUCGUUUUGAUUUCGUCCACGAUUUGGUCUUGUACUUGUACCGUAAUAAUCUGCAGAAAUACAUUGAAAUCUAUGUACAAAAGGUUAACCCUUCACGUUUGCCCGUGGUGGUGGGUGGUCUCUUAGAUGUGGACUGUUCGGAGGACAUUAUCAAGAAUCUUAUUCUGGUCGUUAAGGGACAAUUCUCCACCGAUGAACUGGUGGAAGAGGUAGAGAAACGUAAUCGCUUGAAAUUGCUGUUACCCUGGUUGGAGUCGCGUGUCCAUGAGGGCUGCAUUGAGCCGGCUACACACAAUGCCUUGGCCAAGAUUUAUAUUGAUUCGAAUAACAACCCUGAGAGAUUCCUUAAGGAAAAUCAAUAUUAUGAUAGUCGUGUUGUGGGACGUUACUGCGAGAAACGUGAUCCUCAUUUGGCCUGUGUGGCCUACGAACGGGGUCAGUGUGAUCGUGAAUUGAUUGCCGUAUGCAAUGAAAACUCUCUGUUCAAGAGCGAGGCCCGUUAUUUGGUUAGACGUCGUGAUGCUGAACUUUGGGCUGAAGUGCUGGCCGAAUCGAAUCCCUAUAAGCGUCAACUUAUCGAUCAGGUGGUACAAACCGCUUUAUCCGAAACCCAAGAUCCCGAUGAUAUAUCUGUCACCGUCAAGGCUUUCAUGACCGCCGAUUUACCCAAUGAACUUAUCGAAUUGUUGGAAAAGAUCAUCUUAGACUCUUCGGUCUUUUCGGAUCAUCGCAAUUUGCAAAAUCUUUUGAUUUUGACCGCCAUCAAGGCCGAUCGUACUCGUGUUAUGGAUUACAUUAAUCGUCUGGACAACUACGAUGCUCCUGAUAUCGCCAACAUAGCCAUAUCGAAUCAAUUGUACGAAGAAGCCUUUGCCAUCUUUAAGAAAUUCGAUGUGAACACCUCGGCUAUACAGGUAUUGAUUGAACAGGUCAAUAAUCUAGAAAGAGCGUAUGAAUUUGCUGAACGUUGUAAUGAGCCAGCGGUAUGGUCUCAAUUAGCCAAGGCCCAGCUCGAUAAGGGUUUGGUUAAGGAAGCCAUCGACUCUUAUAUCAAGGCUGAUGAUCCCAGCGCCUACAUGGAUGUGGUAAAUGUGGCCUCACAAUCUGACUCAUGGGAAGAUUUGGUACGUUACUUGCAAAUGGCCCGCAAGAAGGCUAGAGAGUCAUACAUUGAAAGUGAAUUGAUUUAUGCCUAUGCCCGCACUGGUCGUUUAGCUGACUUGGAAGAAUUCAUCUCCGGACCCAAUCAUGCCGAUAUUCAAAAAAUAGGCGAUAGAUGUUUCAACGAUGGCAUGUAUGAUGCCGCCAAACUGCUUUACAACAAUGUCAGCAACUUUGCUCGUUUGGCCAUUACUUUGGUGUAUCUUAAGGAGUUCCAAGGAGCUGUGGACUCUGCCCGCAAAGCCAAUUCUACACGCACCUGGAAGGAGGUGUGCUUCGCAUGUGUCGAUGCCGAAGAAUUCCGUUUGGCUCAAAUGUGCGGCCUUCAUAUUGUGGUGCAUGCCGAUGAACUCGAGGAUUUGAUUAACUACUAUCAAGAUCGCGGCUACUUUGAAGAACUCAUUGCCCUCCUGGAAUCCGCCUUGGGUUUGGAACGCGCCCACAUGGGUAUGUUCACCGAAUUGGCUAUACUCUAUUCGAAAUUCAAGCCCUCGAAAAUGCGCGAACAUUUGGAAUUAUUCUGGUCGCGUGUCAAUAUACCCAAAGUAUUACGUGCUGCCGAAUCGGCACACUUGUGGUCCGAGUUGGUAUUCCUUUAUGAUAAAUACGAGGAGUACGAUAACGCUGUAAUUGCUAUGAUGGCUCAUCCCACCGAAGCCUGGCGUGAAGGUCACUUCAAAGAUAUUAUCACAAAGGUUGCCAACAUUGAACUGUACUACAAGGCUAUACAAUUCUAUUUGGACUUUAAGCCCCUGCUACUCAACGACAUACUUUUGGUAUUGGCCACACGCAUGGAUCACACUAGAGCCGUUACGUUCUUCUCAAAAACCGGCCAUUUGGCUUUGGUCAAACCCUAUUUGCGUUCCGUGCAAUCGCUUAAUAACAAAGCCAUCAAUGAAGCUUUGAACGGUUUGCUAAUCGAAGAGGAAGACUAUCAAGGACUACGCAACUCUAUUGAUGGUUUCGAUAAUUUCGAUACCAUUGCUUUGGCUCAGAAAUUGGAGAAACAUGAAUUAACUGAAUUUAGACGUAUUGCUGCUUAUCUGUACAAAGGCAACAACCGCUGGAAACAAUCAGUUGAAUUGUGUAAAAAGGAUCGUUUGUAUAAGGAUGCUAUGGAAUAUGCAGCUGAAUCUGGUAAACAGGAAAUUGCCGAAGAACUGCUGGCUUGGUUCCUCGAACGUAAUGCCUAUGAUUGUUUUGCUGCCUGCUUAUUCCAAUGUUACGAUUUAUUAAGACCCGAUGUUAUUUUGGAACUAGCAUGGAAACACAAUAUUAUGGACUUUGCCAUGCCUUAUAUGAUACAGGUCAUACGUGAAUAUACCGCCAAAGUGGAUAAACUCGAACAAAACGAACAACGACGAGAGAAAGAAGAUGAAACGGUUGAACAUAAAAACAUUAUUACCAUGGAACCUCAAUUAAUGAUAACAGCUGGUCCUGCAAUGGGUAUACCACCACAGUAUGCUCAAAAUUAUGGUGCUGCUGCUGCAGCGCCCGGUUAUGCGCCCAAUAUGGCUUAUCCACCCGGUUAUGGAAUAAUUUUUCAGUAAAUUUGGACACUCAUCUUGUUCUUUCUUUUACAUUCGUCAUAAUCUUUAUUUUUGCUAACAUCAUGGAAGCUGUAAACAAUUAUUUGGAAAAUAUACAAAUAAUUACAGCCUAAGUACCGUUAAGAUGAAUUCCUGUUAAAAAAUAACGUCUCCUUAAACCUAUGAACGAAAACACACACACA